rnacentral:rRNA from 1 species
UACAGAGGUGGCAAGCGUUGUUCGGAAUUACUGGGCGUAAAGGGCGCGUAGGCGGCUUGGUCAGUCCCGUGUGGAAUCCCUCGGCUCAACUGAGGAACUGCACGGGAAACUGCCUGGCUUGAGUUCGGGAGAGGGAAGCGGAAUUCCGGGUGUAGCGGUGAAAUGCGUAGAUAUCAGGAAGAACACCCGUGGCGAAGGCGGCUCUCUGGGACGGUACUGACGCUGAGACGCGAAAGCGUGGGGAGCGAACAGG